UAGCGUCCUUGGGUGGUCAUGGUCAUGUGAUCAGUGUUCUGUAAAAAGAGUAAUAAUGCCGACGCUGUGACGUCUCCGUGUUGCAGGUUUGGUGCCAUUUUUGACGUAGGAAUUUCGUGUGCAAUACUUUAAAUACAGUGCUCGGCAUUUGUGAUAUUUAAAAGCAAGUGAUAAUGUUUGGAAACUAUUUGAAAAGCAAUAAUAACUGAAAUGAAGCAAGUGGAAAGACAGAGUUUGCCAGAAGGUGCUCACGCCUCUCAGCUGUCUUCACUGAUAGAGGCUAGAGGAAGUCUUUGAAACAUCAUCUGGUGUUCUUAGGUCAUAUGUUUUGUUCGUGAAAGGAUAACGACAUAGAACUGUCUUCUCUGUAGGAACAACGUCACCUUGAGGAAUCCAAAUUUGAAGCAGACUACAGUACAGAUCAGUGUUUCCAUAAUGGAUGGAGGAUCUUCCAUAACAUGGACCGACACCUCCGGCCCUCCCGCACCUUCCUUGCAACCAACGACGGCCUUGUUCGCGCUCCCUCUGACGGCACCACCACCGCCUCCUCCCUCGUGCCCUUCCCUGUAGGACUCGUCGUCGGCCGUGUCAUUUUCCCCAGUCCUUCCUUGCGAAGAGGGCCCCGAAAACCGCCUCUACAUGUUCCUGUUCAUAUCCUGCGGAUGAUUGACGGGGACCAACAGAGAAGAACUUGGGGCCUCAUGUCAGAAAUUCGUGUCCAGGAUUGUCAGUGAAUUCGCGAUGUUUUCAUCCUGCAAUGAAACCAAUAAUGAGGAUACAACUCGCAGGGAACUGUGCUUGACACAGGCUACACUACUGCAAGAUGGAGAUGAACAAGAUUAUUCUACACUGAAACAACAAGAAAGCAACUCAAGACAGUGGGUAAGGAGGCAGUAGUUGACCUGGAACAUUGAAGAUCAAGCAGAAAGUAAAAGCCCAUUUAGCAGCAAGAGUGCAAAUGAAAGGGUACAAGCCAAGCAGCAUCAUUAGUGUCUCGCAGAUGAAAGAGCCAACCAGCAGUACUGAAAUCAAGCAAAGUGUAAAUCGGCGGGCAAGAACAAACUAGCAUCAUUAGAGUGAAACACCUCAAGAGAUAAAAGCAUGGGGCAAGAAGCAACUUUCAGCUUGAGAUCUAACCACCAGCAUGACAGGCAAGCGGCUGGCAGAAGAUGAUAAACAGUAUGAGAGCUAAAGCGAGGGCAGUAGCUAAUCAGCAAUGUGAGUGUUAGGGAGAGGACAAGAGCAGCAUCACAAGACAGCAGAGAGUUGGCAAGAGUCAACCAACAAUAUAAAUCUCGCACACCUUGAAGAGCCAACCAACUACAUGAGCCCAUGCAUUGGGCAAGAGCCAAUCAUCAGCUUGAGAGCUAAGCACAUGGCAAAUGUUGAUCACCAACAGGCGAACCUGGGAGGGUAAGAGCCAAUCAGCAGCAUAAAUACUAGGGAGAAGCAGCAACAGUGUAGCAACCUAGAACCAUCAAGUAGCGUGAGAUCAGUAAACCAUCUACAAUCACAACAUAAUGCAGAGGUUGAGAACCAAGUCUGAGACCUGUGGAGCUGACAAUAUCCAAACAGCAGCAUUGAACUGAGAAGAGGAGAGUUAUCUGGAAGAGCAAGGAAGGGACAAAAUUCAACAUCCAAAUCCAAGUGGGCACCACUAAACUAACUGGCAGGCAAAAAAGCUACCAAAUAGCUUGUAUAAAAAACCUGGAUCUGAAGAAAAAUGAAAGAUGAGAACCAUAUUAUAUAGUAUGAGAGCAGAUGGGGAGGAUGAAAGGAGACCAACAGCAACAUGAGGUGUCGAGAGGGGGGGGGGGG